UCUCUCUCUCUCUCUCUCUCUCUCGCACACACACACUUGUUAUCCCUUCUUAACCCUAACCUAUACGAUUGACCAUAUACCCACAUCCCCACACGAUCAUAGAUCCAUAAAUGAUAUUGUACGUUCUUUAGUGUCAAUCUAUUUUAUGGUCUUUAGUUUUCUUCUCAUUAUUAUGAAUGUUAUGAUUAAAGAUUUCUCUCUUAAAAAAUAUCCAG
rnacentral:lncRNA from 1 species